CUCCUCGAGGACUGGUGAGCUGUCACUGCAGCAUGACCGUACUGCCAGCUCCCCAGGGGCUCACCCUAAAAGUUCCUUUUAGAGAACACCCUCAGCCUUAACUCCAUUUUAGAGCCUGACUUCUGGGAGUCAACCUGUGGCAUUUAAGGUGGAUUAUGUAUUAUAUAUAUAGAUCAGCACCAGCACAUACAGCAUGCAGAGGCAGCCCACUGUGGUAACCACCACGGGGUUGUCCUCAAAGGUAGCAAAGAGCUCGGCAGUCUGGCGGACGUCAAUGGCGUUGGGCAUCACCAGGAAGGAGCUUCCGAAGAAGGUUCUUCACUGGGAUGGGAUGGCCGCUGGAGCUGGUCAGGCGAAGUCCACCAACAGUCCCACUGACAUCAAAUUGGCUUCGGGAAGGGAAGGGGUUCUGUGAGAAACUCAUCAUCUGAAAGCCAAGAGCAAGAAGCACUGAUGAGAGUCGGGGUGAACAGGCCCCUGUGUGAACAGUGAGACCCGCAGGCUGGUGACUGGCCCUCGCUCUAUGAGGUGGAUGCAGGCUCCUGCCUUUAACUGAUGGUGCUUUCCAGAGAUAUCGUUUGCAGAGGCCGUGUCCAGGACUCAGCAAGCCUUUCUUCCCCCAGAGUUGAUAUAAUCAGAUCUCAACAUCUUCAGUUCUAUGUCUGUAGACUCAACUAAAUGUGGACUGAAAUAUUUGAAAAA
ensembl:antisense Gm15395 predicted gene 15395